UAUGUGAUCGUCUCUCGCAUAUCAAUAAGCGGAGGAAAAGAAACUAACAAGGAUUCCCCUAGUAACGGCGAGUGAAGCGGGAAGAGCUCAAAUUUGAAAUCUUAAAGGGUUUCCCUUUACGAAUUGUAGUUUAAAGAAGUGUUUUCUGUUGAGGUUUUGGUAAAAGUUCCUUGGAAUAGGACAUCAUAGAGGGUGAGAAUCCCGUAUUUGACCUUUACUUUCAACUUUGUGAUACACUUUCAAAGAGUCGGAUUGUUUGGGAAUGCAGUCCAAAAUGGGUGGUAAAUUUCAUCUAAAGCUAAAUAUUGGCGAGAGACCGAUAGCGAACAAGUACCGUGAGGGAAAGAUGAAAAGAACUUUGAAAAGGAGAGUUAAACAGUACGUGAAAUUGUCAAAAGGGAAGCGUUUGACACCAGUGUUGUUUUUCUGAAAAUCAAUUAAAGAACUGUUUAUGCUAAGCUGUUUAGACUUUAUCAGCUAUCUGUUUAGUUUUGAGCUUUUCUUUAAUGCACUUUUCAGUUAACAAGUCAACAUCAAUUUCUUUUGCUGUAAAAAAGCUUUGAGGAAGGUGGCUUGAGAUUCGUCUUAAGUGUUUAUAGCCUCUUGCCUAUGCAGUCGGAGAGAUUGAGGUCUGCAGCGUAGAUCCUUCGGGGUUAAAUGCAUUUGUGCUAAGUUAUAGCAUUUUAUAGACAACUUGUUGACUAUGAUUUGUCUUGUAGCUUACUCGCUUAUGUUAUUUUACCUACGCUUAGGAUGUUGAGCGCAUGUCUCUCUCU
rnacentral:rRNA from 1 species